rnacentral:rRNA from 1 species
UUGAUCCUGGCUCAGGAUGAACGCUAGCGGCAGGCUUAACACAUGCAAGUCGAGGGGUAUAGUUCUUCGGAGCUAGAGACCGGCGCACGGGUGCGUAACGCGUAUGCAAUCUACCUUUUACAGAGGGAUAGCCCAGAGAAAUUUGGAUUAAUACCUCAUAGCAUAGCAGCUUCGCAUGAAGUCACUAUUAAAGUCACAACGGUAAAAGAUGAGCAUGCGUCCCAUUAGCUAGUUGGUAAGGUAACGGCUUACCAAGGCUACGAUGGGUAGGGGUCCUGAGAGGGAGAUCCCCCACACUGGUACUGAGACACGGACCAGACUCCUACGGGAGGCAGCAGUGAGGAAUAUUGGACAAUGGGCGCAAGCCUGAUCCAGCCAUGCCGCGUGCAGGAUGACGGUCCUAUGGAUUGUAAACUGCUUUUAUACGAGAAGAAACACUGAUUCGUGAAUCAGCUUGACGGUAUCGUAAGAAUAAGGAUCGGCUAACUCCGUGCCAGCAGCCGCGGUAAUACGGAGGAUCCAAGCGUUAUCCGGAAUCAUUGGGUUUAAAGGGUCCGUAGGC